UUAAUUUUGUUUUGCUCGAUGCUCUAAAUAUGUGGCUCAAUAGAUGGUUAUUCAAACAGCCAAUUUGGAAAAAAUUACCAAAAAGUUCUAUUAGGUUAAAUUGAAUCGUUGGUCUUCUUUAGCCCUAUCCAAAUUUGGGAAUCACUGCAUGUGUAUUUCUGCCUUUAUUAUAUAUCGAAAUGCAUUUGUUAGCAUCUAGCUUCUAAUGAGAUUUUGUUUUUCCGAAGUAAUUUCUAUCCUUGGUAAAUCAUGUGCAUGUAAAACAUUGAAUAUGAGAUCUGAAUCUAGCGUUAGAUUAGUUAUCUUGUUCAACUAGUCACCUCCAGUUCAUCAUAUGUGGACAGUUCAGGUUUAAUGCAUGAUCUAAUUGCUGCUAUUAUUAAUCCUUGCAUACUCGUUGGAUCUCUCACUUGUUGCAGAUAUUCGAAGACAUGAAUCCUUAUCUGUUUUCUGUGUUGUGAGGAGUCCACGGAGCAAAAUGUGUUAAUAUGUCCAUUCAUCAAUUUAUACAGAAAGCCCUUGUUCAACUACCUUCGUGGACUAUUUUUUGUCCCGUCUUGCAGCUGCUUCAAUGACUUGCUGCUGUGCUUCACUACUAAUCUCUCCAUUCCCAGGAGCAAGGCCAGAUGGAUUACUGUAAGAUGAUUCCAGGAUUGGGGGAGGAGAGUGCUGAUAUAUAAAACAUCUUUUGCAAGCAUUUACUGUGAUAAUAAGAAUUCAGCCAUGGCGUUUUUCAGUUUUGAGAUACUGAACUCAUUUUAUCGUGAUUCAUGAAACUCUACCUGUAUCAUUAAAGCUAGUUAGGCUUUCGAAUCAGUGAAUCUAAUGAUUUUAGAUUGGA